UUACAGUAGUAUGGUUAAAUCCUUUGUUUAGGCAAUAGGCCCAAGUGUUUGGUAAGAACUAUUUAUGGUAGUCACUCUUUGCCUGGGCAGGGGAUGGGUCAGCAUGUUUCAUCCAGCUUCAUAAAACACAAAUCUCAUACCAGUUCAUCUCCUAACCUGAUCCACUGGGGUUUGCAUGCUACUAAGCGAGAGACCUCAACUUCCUCUACAGUCUCUCCUUCUUCAGCAGGUGGCAAUGGUGUUCCCACCAGCCCAUCUCCUGUGCCUGCAAAGCGGAACUGUUGUUCAGCAGUAGACAUCUCCCCAGACCACAUGGCCCUGACAGAGCGCUGGAUUGAUAAGGAAGGGUUCAAAUUCCAUGUACACCAAAAAAAUGGUGUCAGAAUCUGUGACAACUUCCUUUUGGGAAACUGCCCCCAAGGAGAGAGUUGUCCUCUCCACCACACUCGCUACCCAUAUCACUGGCAGCUAAAGCAGAAAGAAAGUCGAGUAUGGCAAAGUGUGAGUGACUUGGCACAGCAGCACCUGGAGAAGCUCUACACUGAUAUUACCAGAGUGCACACUACCCUGGUAGAUAAGCAAGGGAUCUCUGGAAUUCUCAACUGUGAUCUCAUGCGACUUAAAUCUUUUGCACCCUACGAUAGCAUACGGCGGCUUUCCAAUACCAGCAGUUCACAAAUAAACCCUCAUUUCCCCACAAAGUGGACAUGGUACUGGAAGGAUGACUACAAUUGGAAAGAAUAUGAUGAGCCUGUCCCUCCUGAUUUCCUAGCUGUCUUUGAGAAAAGCCUGCCCAGUGACAAUGCAGAGAUCCAUCGUGAGCUGUCUGCUAUGGAUUUGAAGCAGAAGAGUCAAAAAAUAAGUCACAGUUGCCCUAUCCAGCACCGUCCUGUUUACCGCUCCCUCCUAUCUAUGGCGCCCUUCUUGCAGUAAGCAGCAACCCAAGACAAUUAGGAAAAAGCACAGUGAAGAACUUCAGCUGUCAACUUCUGGCAUCCCUGGGGAAGAUCCCACAGAUGAGUAUUGUGGCCCUUACCCUGCAACAUCAGUCUUUCAGUUGGUUGGCCCCACUGACAAUGGAUUUCUACAGCUUGAAAUGGAACCAUGGGAAUCUGCUUAUCAUUCCACAUAUACUCUUUUCCAUGACUCCUUCUCAGAGAAUGAGGCACUGGUGUUAGGAAUAUACAGAAUCUGGAAUGAAGUUGUCUGGCAAAAUUAUACCAGAAGAAAAGAAUCGAUGUUCGAGUGCAUUUCAGGGGUGAAAAAAUGUGAGCUAGAGAAACAUCUGUUCUAUGGCACGUGGGCUGAAAGAAAAAGCUCCAUCUGCAGAAUGAACUUUGACCCCUGCCUCUCAGGAUUAUUCACCCCCAUCUAUGGCCAAGGCAUCUACUUCCACAUGUGUGCACAGCAGGCACACAAAUAUACCCUGCCAGAUAAGGACAAGCUUCGAUACAUGUUUCUGGCCAAAGUCCUGGUGGGCAACUAUAUCUCUGGAGAAGAGCAUUACCGUCACACCAAGAAAUUUCUGCCAGCCCAGGAGACAUAUGAAUCUUGUGUGGACAACACAGAGAGCCCUAAGAUCUUUGUGACAUUCAACAGGAAUCAGUGCUACCCAUACUUCCUGAUCUGUUAUAAGUUGCUCUCUGACCCUGUGGUUCUUGGUAUCUGAAGAAUAGGGACUAUGCGGAAGGAUCUCUGUGAAAGCAUCCUUAUGGCAAUUUUGAUCACCAAGUAAACACUAAACAUGACUUGGAAGGUCUUAGCUGUGGCAAUUAAAAAUGACCUCUGUCUUCUUAGUCUCUUCAGAGCAUUUGUGAGAAACAGCCCAAUAAAACAUCCAGGAGACUAUAGAACUUCAGCAACACAAGAGAAGUCCAUCUCCAUUUCCAGCCUCAAACUACAUUCAUGUGCCUACAUCCCAAACCACAGCCUCUCUAAACCUAAGACCUGCCCUAGUCUUUUCCAUUAUGUAUAAAUGUUUGCCAUAGUUACACAUCAAACAGAAGGAUUGCCCAAAUUUUAUGGGGUUUUAGGAAUCUGCACUGCAGUAGUGAAACCUAAAUGACAUCAAGAAUAUGAAAACAUAAAUAUUCACUAGGACUGAAUUUGCUAGAAGAGGGCAGAGUCUUCUUACCAGGGGUGGGUUCAGAUGACCGAACAAAUAAUGUAUUCUUUGGUUAUAAACACACCUGAGUCUGCAUGCUCCCUCUUCCCUCUCCAUUUGCUUCCUCAGCUUGUAGUUUGUUUAAACCACAGUUCAAUGGCUUAUCAGAACCCAAAGCUGUGCUUUAAUUAUAGAACCAGAUCUCAUGAUCCGUGAGACCCGGUUGGGGGCGGUGAGCGGGGAGGGAGCCCUGGGUGGCCGGAUCGGCCGCCCACACAAUUACCGGCUCCGUGACAGAGCUGGCGGGGGCUGGGGAGCUCGGGGGCUGCGCGGCCCCCUGAAGCCCAGUAUGCCCUGCGCGAUGGAGACUGAACUGAAAAUGUAGAAUCUUUGUUAUCGGACUAGAAGGCUUUCAGACAUCUUAAGCAUGAGAGCUUGAAACUUUUCUAUAAGAGUUGGAAUAAGUGAGUUCAGAUAAUGCUGACAUGUAAUGUUUUUUUGGGGGGUGUUUCUACUUGUACUUUGAUGCAGAAAAUUGAUCAUAGUAUGUGUUUCUAGACUGCCUACACAAACCAGCCACUGUCAACUUACUAGCUGAUGUACUGCACAACAUUAUGCAUACAGUGGAAUAUAACAUUUGCACUGUUGUGUGAGAGUGCUGUUGUGUAAAUGGUGUUGCAUGACAGUGAAGCCAUUAUACAAUAUGCUUUGCAGUUCAUGCAUUACAUAAGCCAUUAUCUCAAAGUUCAGAACUUGACUCUGUACCUCUUUCUUCCAUGCUGCCCUCCACUUUCCAAACUUCCAACAGGUUCUUGUGUAGAGAACAAAGGCAGAGCACAGGAGCAAACUGUGGAUUUUUCAGGACUUAUGCUUGAGGAAUUGAGAAAGAUGAGAGAGAACGUUGACAUGCUUCUCCUCAACCAGCAGAGUCAACUCCAGGUUCUACAAGGAAUUCAGAAGCAGCUUGGUGUCCUUCUACCUGGCAAUGAUCUCCUUAAUUCAAAUGUGUAUAGCUUGGGCCUUCUGCUAAGCCAGCAGUCUGCAACAAUGGGGUUGUCAUCUUUUCCUCUCCUCAGUCCAAGUAACCUUCUUCCAGAAAGUGCAUAUCCUCUUUCCUCUCGGAUUUGAUCUAAGUCAACCUUAUUAGGAAAAGUUCUGAUUUAUCAACCUUAAUUUGCCCCAUGAACUCCUCCUGUAACUUCCUGAUGGGGACUCUACUUCUCUUAAUUUGUAAAAACAUUGUCAUGUGUCUUGGACAAAUAUUACUUUAAAUGCAUGCCUAAAAAUCAAAUACCUCCUUAAAAAUGGGAGAUGUAGCUAGCUAACACAUGCUUUAGUGCUUAGUUACUUCUCUCACUUGUAAGCUAUAUCUGUAACAUAUAGUGGUAAUGUGAGUCAUACUCAAGACUGCAUAAACCUGUGACUUAAAGCUUGCAGGAACCACUUCUUUACAUAAUUAUGAUCUGUCUUGCUAAGUUCCUCAAAUUUAAAAGCCUUCUGUACCAUUGUAGAACAGAGUGCUCGCUUCGGCAGCACAUAUACUAAAUUGUAGAACAGACUACUUUUAAAUUAUCCAUAUUAGACUGACAAAUGACCAGAUUAUCACAGAGGAUGGAAAGGAACAAGCAGGAAGGCAGCAACAUUAAGGAUGAUUGCAGGAAGUAGUAUAGUAUAAACUAGAAAAUAGCUGUGUUCAGGUGAUAACCUGGUAUCUUAGGUGUGUUCCUUCUAUGUUUCACGCCUUAUAGUAUGUGGGUUUAGAGUACUACACUAUAUCAGUGAGUAUUCAGGGCAGGCCCCUGUUAAAAAUAUCAGUAGCCACAAAGGUACGGAAUCCUGUCUACAGUGUAGCAUGCUACAGCCUUUCUCUUCUAGAACUCAAAAUGUGGUUUUUAAUUCUAUUUUGUUUUAAGGGCUUUCUUUUAUGUUGUACCUCCAAUCUUUUUUGUAAUAAAGUUUAUUGAAUGC